UACGUAGGGUGCGAGCGUUGCCCGGAUUUAUUGGGCGUAAAGGGCUCGUAGGCGGUCUGUCGCGUCGGGAGUGAAAACUCAGGGCUUAACCCUGAGCCUGCUUCCGAUACGGGCAGACUAGAGGUAUGCAGGGGAGAACGGAAUUCCUGGUGUAGCGGUGGAAUGCGCAGAUAUCAGGAGGAACACCGGUGGCGAAGGCGGUUCUCUGGGCAUGUCCUGACGCUGAGGAGCGAAAGUGUGGGGAGCGAACAGG
rnacentral:rRNA from 1 species